GUUGAACCCUGAAGAGAGCCUCCUCCUCCUCCUCCAACCAUUCCAGCCGCCGCAGCUGCAGCACCGCUUACUGUCCCCAUCCAUCCGCUGAUGUCUCGGCUUCUUAUCCUAAUAACAGGUGACAGAGUGGCCUCCUCCUCCUCCUCCAACCAUUCCAGCCGCCGCAGCUGCAGCACCGCUUACUGUCCCCAUCCAUCCGCUGAUGUCUCGGCUUCUUAUCCUAAUAACAGGUGACAGAGUGAGAGGAAGAUGCUCUUCUCUCUCGGGAUUAAUCUCAAACACAUGACUUGUCCCUCUUGAAGAGCUAACCACUAUCAAACUGCUAUCAUUGCUGAAACUCAUGUCUUGUAUCA
rnacentral:lncRNA from 1 species